rnacentral:rRNA from 1 species
CCUACGGGUGGCAGCAGUGGGGGAUAUUGCACAAUGGGGGAAACCCUGAUGCAGCGACGCCGCGUGAGUGAAGAAGUAUUUCGGUAUGUAAAGCUCUAUCAGCAGGGAAGAAAAUGACAGUACCUGACUAAGAAGCCCCGGCUAACUACGUGCCAGCAGCCGCGGUAAUACGUAGGGGGCAAGCGUUAUCCGGAUUUACUGGGUGUAAAGGGAGCGUAGACGGCUCUGUAAGUCUGGAGUGAAAGUCCGGGGCCUAACCACGGUACUGCUUUGGAAACUGUGUAACUUGAGUGCGGGAGGGGCAGGCGGAAUUCCUGGUGUAGCGGUGAAAUGCGUAGAUAUCAGGAGGAACACCGGCGGCGAAGGCGGCCUGCUGGACUGAAACUGACGUUGAGGCUCGAAAGCGUGGGGAGCAAACAGGAUUAGAUACCCGAGUAGUC